GGAUGAGUAGCUGAGUGGGUAAAGCGUGUCCUGUGCAAGCAUGAGGAUCUAGGUUCGAAUCCUCAGCAUCCA
rnacentral:tRNA from 1 species